rnacentral:lncRNA from 1 species
GUCCUUCCUCACUGUUGUCCUCAACCGGCUAGGAUAUGCCCACUGGAUUGGACUGUUCACCACAGAUAUGAGGAGUCCUCCCUCCUUGGUGACUGCGUUUUUGCCGACAGCAACGGACGCUGGCAUAGCACAGCCUGCGAGUCAUUUCUGCAAGGUGCCAUUUGUCAUGUGCCACCUGAAACAAGACAAUCUGAACACCCAGAGUUGUGCUCAGAAACAUCUAUUCCCUGGAUAAAAUUUAAAAGUAAUUGCUACAGUUUUUCUACAGUCCUAGACAGUAUGAGUUUUGAGGCUGCUCAUGAAUUUUGCAAAAAGGAAGGUUCUAAUCUUUUAACAAUCAAGGAUGAGGCUGAAAAUGCAUUUCUCCUAGAAGAGCUGUUUGCUUUUGGUUCUUCUGUCCAGAUGGUUUGGUUGAAUGCUCAAUUUGAUGGUAACAAUGAAACCAUAAAGUGGUUUGAUGGAACUCCCACAGACCAGUCAAACUGGGGCAUUCGGAAGCCAGACACAGACUACUUCAAGCCCCAUCAUUGUGUUGCCUUGAGGAUCCCUGAAGGAUUAUGGCAGCUAUCCCCGUGUCAAG